rnacentral:lncRNA from 1 species
ACCUGCAAUGUCUCAGUAGUUACUUGCCAUUGCUGCUACAAAACUUAUGUUGUUGCUUGUUGGCCUGUCCCUUGCUAUCUGAAGUAUAUAUUUUUUGACUGUCGCUCAUUCAUUAUCUGAAGAAUUUUAUGUAGGUAGUCUUAAUGUGUGUUUAGCUUUCAGUUUUUACUUCUACUUCACAGAGUAGAAGAUCACAAGAAAACAUUGGCUGAUCUUUAACAAUUAUUCUUAGAGUAACCCAGAGCAGUAUUCGAUAUUGUGAGUCACUGAAAAUGUAUACUGUUUUUUUCUUCAGGAUAUGGAUGAAUAUCUGAAGGGAUGUAGGGUUCUUCCCAAACUUAACAACGAGAUACUAGGUGAAAGAAAUGCUCCCUACAAGGAAAGGUUGAGCAGCCUAGAGAAAUUAGUACCUGAUCAUGGUAAGGUUGACAAAGCCUGAAAUCUCAUUUUGAUCCAGGUUCAAAGAUUACAUGGUAGCAUAUAUACUUGAAGUUGGCAUGGAAUAUCAAAGCUCAAAUACACAGGUAUUAAUUUCUUGUAUGCAUCAAAACAACAAGAUAGCAUGAACACGUAUAGCUAGGGUAUGCAUUUAG